UGCAGUCGAGCGAACAGAAGGGAGCUUGCUCCGGGAUGUUAGCGGCGGACGGGUGAGUAACACGUGGGUAACCUGCCUGUAAGACUGGGAUAACUCCGGGAAACCGGAGCUAAUACCGGAUAGUUCCUUGAACCGCAUGGUUCAGGGAUGAAAGACGGUUUCGGCUGUAACUUACAGAUGGACCCGCGGCGCAUUAGCUAGUUGGUGGGGUAAUCGCUCACUAGGGCGAACGAUGCAGUAGCCGACCUGAGAGGGUGAUCGGCCACACUGGGACUGAGACACGGCCCAGACUCCUACGGGAGGCAGCAGUAGGGAAUCUUCCGCAAUGGACGAAAGUCUGACGGAGCAACGCCGCGUGAGUGAUGAAGGUUUUCGGAUCGUAAAGCUCUGUUGUUAGGGAAGAACAAGUGCGAGAGUAACUGCUCGCACCUUGACGGUACCUAACCAGAAAGCCACGGCUAACUACGUGCCAGCAGCCGCGGUAAUACGUAGGUGGCAAGCGUUGUCCGGAAUUAUUGGGCGUAAAGGGCUCGCAGGCGGUUUCUUAAGUCUGAUGUGAAAGCCCCCGGCUCAACCGGGGAGGGUCAUUGGAAACUGGGAAACUUGAGUGCAGAAGAGGAGAGUGGAAUUCCACGUGUAGCGGUGAAAUGCGUAGAGAUGUGGAGGAACACCAGUGGCGAAGGCGACUCUCUGGUCUGUAACUGACGCUGAGGAGCGAAAGCGUGGGGAGCGAACAGGAUUAGAUACCCUGGUAGUCCACGCCGUAAACGAUGAGUGCUAAGUGUUAGGGGGUUUCCGCCCCUUAGUGCUGCAGCUAACGCAUUAAGCACUCCGCCUGGGGAGUACGGUCGCAAGACUGAAACUCAAAGGAAUUGACGGGGGCCCGCACAAGCGGUGGAGCAUGUGGUUUAAUUCGAAGCAACGCGAAGAACCUUACCAGGUCUUGACAUCCUCUGACAACCCUAGAGAUAGGGCUUUCCCUUCGGGGACAGAGUGACAGGUGGUGCAUGGUUGUCGUCAGCUCGUGUCGUGAGAUGUUGGGUUAAGUCCCGCAACGAGCGCAACCCUUGAUCUUAGUUGCCAGCAUUCAGUUGGGCACUCUAAGGUGACUGCCGGUGACAAACCGGAGGAAGGUGGGGAUGACGUCAAAUCAUCAUGCCCCUUAUGACCUGGGCUACACACGUGCU
rnacentral:rRNA from 1 species